UUCUGUCUGCAAAUUUUGAGUCGGGCGUGCAAGUCUGGGACAGUCAGUUAGCUGCUGAUUGUCAUCAACUGAACAUGGUUUCAGUUUUUUUUUCUGUUUGUGCCGGAACAAUCUAGCGCUGUUUUUUCGAAGUGAGAUUAUGAAGUGCAAUAGCCACGAAAACCGAAGUUCCAGAGCAACAACGUCGGUGCAAAUCACCGACAACAAAGCCAAGCGCAACUUGAAGCCGGAGGUGAGCUAGGCUCACCCGGUCCAGGACAUGGGAG